rnacentral:rRNA from 1 species
CCUACGGGCGGCAGCAGUGAGGAAUAUUGGUCAAUGGGCGUAAGCCUGAACCAGCCAAGUCGCGUGAGGGAUGAAGGUGCUAUGGAUCGUAAACCUCUUUUAUAAGGGAGUAAAGUGUGGGACGUGUCCUAUUUUGUAUGUACCUUAUGAAUAAGGAUCGGCUAACUCCGUGCCAGCAGCCGCGGUAAUACGGAGGAUCCGAGCGUUAUCCGGAUUUAUUGGGUUUAAAGGGUGCGUAGGCGGCCUUUUAAGUCAGCGGUGAAAGUCUGUGGCUCAACCAUAGAAUUGCCGUUGAAACUGGGGGGCUUGAGUAUGUUUGAGGUAGGCGGAAUGCGUGGUGUAGCGGUGAAAUGCUUAGAUAGCACGCAGAACUCCGAUUGCGAAGGCAGCAUGCCAAGCCAUGACUGACGCUGAUGCACGAAAGCGUGGGGAUCGAACAGGAUUAGAUACCCUAGUAGUC